CAGGAUUAUUUCUGUGUUGCUGGG
rnacentral:piRNA from 1 species